UCUUCACUAGUAUAUCGGUUAGUAUAUUCGCCUCUCAUUAGAGAGUUGCUGGUGCUUCAGUCAGCGUAACCGCGAAAGAGCAGGGUUCAACUCCCUGGUGGAGAA